rnacentral:rRNA from 1 species
UAGGGAAUUUUGCGCAAUGGACGAAAGUCUGACGCAGCAACGCCGCGUGAGGGAUGACGGCCUUCGGGUUGUAAACCUCUGUUGGAUGGGAAAAAAAGGUAGCAAUACUUUGAUGGUACCAUUUGAGGAAGCACCGGCUAACUACGUGCCAGCAGCCGCGGUAAUACGUAGGGUGCAAGCGUUGUUCGGAAUCACUGGGCGUAAAGAGAGCGUAGGCGGGAUCGUAAGUUAGAAGUUUAAUACAUGGGCUUAACCCGUGGUCGGCUUUUAAUACUGCGGUUCUUGAGUAUGGGAGAGGGCGAUGGAAUUCCAGGUGUAGCGGUGGAAUGCGUAGAUAUCUGGAAGAACACCAGUAGCGAAGGCGGUCGCCUGGCCUAAUACUGACGCUGAGGCUCGAAAGCUAGGGGAGCAAACAGG